rnacentral:lncRNA from 1 species
UGCAGAUGCGGUUGUUGUUGUAUAUUGUCGAUCAUAGAUUUGUUUGAUUUGAUUCUUUUUCUCUCAUUUAGGCAUAGCUUUGGUCUUAUAUGACUUUGCUAUUUGCCAGCGGGUUUUUGUGUGUGUGUGUGUGUGUGUGUGUGUGUGUGCGUGUGUGUCUGUGUGUUGGUAUUGGCUGUGUGCAUCCUAGCUAUGCAGAGGCUGGGUGUGUGCUCACUGUGUUUGUAUCCACUGGAUGCUUCAUUUUGAGUCAAUAAAAUCCACCCUUUCUCGAAAAAAUCAGUUACCAGUGGGGGGCCACAUUGUCCACCCAUCACUGAUAAACUAGAUGAUGCCCCGCGCGUUGCCGUGGGAACUGUAUUAAAACAAAUCCAUCAGUAAAUGCUUAAAAACAUUUAAACCUAAUGAAAAUGCAAAUAUAAAAGCUUUCUUAGUUCAUAUUUUUUAAACAAUAAAACAUACAAAUUAUGUGACAAAAUGAUACACAAAAGGAUAAACUUUUUGGAGUCAACAUAAUGUGACACCAUAUUUUAAAAAAUUGUGAAGCAUAAACUAUAUAUAUUACGCCAAGGGUCUAAGACAUAUAUAGUUCAUGAAUACACAAAAAUCAGCACAAAAAUCUAAGUUGUGACUAAUAUUUAUGAAUUAGUUUCCCGGGAAAAGAGGCAUGCAUGACUUAAUGAAGUGGCAUGGAUUACAUGGAUAGAUUAAUGCAGGAAGUGUAACUUAUGAAUACAUGCAUAAGGUAUACAAAUAAUUAAGAUGUUGCAAGAAGUGUAAAAGCUUUCUAUGGUCACACGAUUUUGAUUGAACGGGUACAAAUAAUUAAGAUGAUGAGGAAACAUGCAUGUUCAGAGAAAUCCAGAAGUGGGAGCUAGCUAUUUUUUAGAUAUAAUAAAUACCAGUGGCAUGGUGAAUCCCAAGGCCUGCUACUAAUAUUUUUUCCCAGCUCAAAAAAAAAUAUUGUUUUCCGGUAUUUUUUAAAAUCCUAAUUAUCUUCGUGGAUAUCUUCUCUUCUCAACGUAUGGCCCGCUACUAAUUUUUUUUAGGAUAUUUUCCUCUUUAUCCCUUCACUCUCUUAAUUAUCUGAUCCACCUAUGAUUGGAUAUCCACUCUUCUCAACUUAGGGUACAACGCUGCUACACACACGACAAAUCUGAACAAUUUUCAGACGACACAAUACAUCAAGCCGUCGUCCAUGCAUAGACCAAACACUGGAUAGCACCGUUAAUUCUUCAGUUAUCCAAAGUUCGUGCGGUGAAGUGUCGUCCGCAUAGUAGUUAACACAGAUCUCAUACCUUCCCACAACCGACCGAAUCGAGCUGUCCCGGAGCAUUUAUUUAUUUAUUCCGCUCACAUAGCCUAUUCUGGAUCUUCGAUGGUUUUAAGUGCAAGUUAUACACGUACAUAUUUUGGAAAUACAAACGCUUGUAUUGUGCAUACACUAGUUGAUCAAUUGGUUAGCUUAGUGAUGCAUGCAUGGCAAAGCUAGCUGUCCACGACGUACUAGCGCAUGCAUGCAUCAGGUCUUGCUGCAGCUAAGAGCAUCUUCAGCUGCGCUCUCAACAGACCUCUUCAGGUGAUUUUUUAGCACCGGCGUUAAAAAAUCAACCCAGUUACGUUUUCAGAAACCGUUUUUCGUUGGUUUGAACCGAAACUGAUGCCGACAGACCCAGACCAAACCCGGUGCGCUGGGGGCGCCCGCGGGCGCCGGGGCGAGCAGUUUUGGCGUGAAAGAGUUGUGGGCCCACCGAGUCAACGACACUCACAUCGUCGUCCUCAUAACGCCUCGGUUUCCCGCGGGGAAUCAAUGGCAAGGUUGCCGCCGACUAACCUUGCCAUUGAUUCCUCGCGGACGGCGCGACGACGCCUCCCCUCCUGUCACACGUACACACGGCGCGCGGCUAUAAAAGCAAGGCCUCCCUCGCCUCUGGCCACACCCGCCCACACCCGUCGCCGAGCUCUGCCUCUCUCCCCGUGCGCAGCCGAUAGUCCUGGACAUCUCAAGCCCGGCCCUGUCGGCCCACCUAGGCCCGGCCCUAAAAUCCAUGGCCUAGGCCCGAUGGGCUUGUCCGUGGGCCGGGCUUGGGUCUGAGUUUUGAGCCCAUCAGCAGGGCCUGGACAGGCUUGGGCUUGGCAUAUUGGCAUUUUAAGGAAAAGGCCCGUCCCACGGCCCUAAGCCCUAAGGGCUUUUCAGGGCUUUUUACGAGAUUGGCCGGGCUUGGGCUUAAAAAGAAGGCCUGAUGGUAGGGCCUGGGAGGGCCUGGGCCUCAGUUUUCUGCCAUGGGUUUUUUUAGGCCCGGCCCAUGGCCAGAUAUAGCAGCCACCACCGACGUUCCUCCCCUCCCCUUUCUCCCCAAGCCCACCCGAUGGCCGAGCGAUUCCCCGGCGAUGGGGCGGCGGCCAACGGCUUCGGCCGCCGCUCGCUCUACGAGUGGGAGGCCUAUCUCUUUUUCGAGGCGAACAUCCCGGCGCCGCCGGACAUGCGCGCCGGGCCGACAGGGUGGAGACUCAGUGCCGGUGGAGUCCCCAUUCCCCUGGUGCCCGACGACGACGCGCGCCCUGACCUCUUCGACGCUGAGAUCGACCGCGUGCGGGCGUCGCUGACGGAGGAGCAACGCGCCCUUCUGUAGUACGCCGCCGACAACCACGUGUCGUGGGCGGCGUACUUCCAGCACCGGCAGGCGCAGCGACUGACGUCCACCAACGGGCGACGAUGGCGGGGGGCGUCAAGAACAGCAAGGGACGCCGCCUAGGGUGGGGCGCCCCCGGCCGGACACUCCACGAGGUACUCCGGUACCUCGAGGGCAGCAAUGACCCGCUGCUGGCAUACCCUGCCGCCACCACCGCCCCGGUCCCCCGCCGGAGCGUCAGGCAAUGGUGCCUAGGAGGUUCGGCUCCUCGUCGUCUUCCUCCUCUCACUCCUCCCACUCCUCUUCCCGCUCCUCCGGCUCGCCGACGGUGUUCGGCGUCAAGGCCGAGCCCACAGCAGAGACGCUGCUCGGCUGGCGCACCCGCAGCGCCGGCAACGUCAUUAACGAGGGCGGCAGGCGCGCCUCCUCCUAGGCUCAUGCGCGCUACAUCAAACCGAAGACGGAGCCGGGGCUCGCCGCCGUGAAGACGGAGGCGAGGCUCGCCGUCGUGAAGACGGAGCCAGUGCUCGCCGGCGGCAUCAAGGAGGAGCUCGACGAUGCGGCAGCCUUGAAGUGGGCGCGCGACGGAGCUGGAGUGCCAGCGGUUCGCCGCUCGGCGCCAUGGCCGGGGCGAGGGAGGCGUCGUCAUCCUCGACGACAACGACGAUGACGCGGCGCCACCACCGGUCCGCCAGGGCGACGCCGGGCAGGGGUUCAGGAGGGGCGGCCGCGUGAAGGAGAAGAAGGACGACAAGGACAACGGCUGCGGCAACGGUAGCGACUUCGCCUCUCUCAGUGCCUUAUUCGGCCUGUAGUCGCAUUUAUUUUUUUAAGUAUUUUAUCUAUGUAAGAAACUAUUUCAAUUCGCCGAAGUAAUGCACUGUUUCAUCGAAUAUUUGUCCCGUUCGCCCAAUUUUAGUCAAAUAAAUGUUCAAAAAAAAUUAAAACAGACGCUUGGGGCCUAAUUUUACUGCCGAUUCGCCCCCAUGCGGCGAUUUUUCGAGCCGCCUGGGGGGCCAACCGCUGGAGACGCUCUAAGGUGCGCGUACACGUCUCGGCCGAGUCGUACUCUACUCAAAUACCAUUAUGUUGGUGAACCUAUACAUACCUAAGUACACCUACGCUGGUCGGCAUGGACACGUAUAUACCUUAAUACCCGAUCGAUGGCGUGUCCUAUGCUGCGUGGUUAGUCAUGCCCACUUAGUGAAGUCACCACGGCAAGCUAGUUCAAGUCAGGAGGUUCACGACAAGCUCUUGAUUGAGAACAUAACGCGUGCAUGGCUGACUAAGGCCUCCUUUGGUUCAUAGGGUAGGAAAAUUAUAGGAAUAAAAAAGUCAUAAAAAAUGAGAUGACAUAUAUCUUAAAUCAUAUAAGUAAGAAUUGGAAAAGAGAUGCUCUUUGAUUCACAUCAUAGGAUUUUUUUUCAUUGAGUUUAGGCUGAUGUUUAUUUUUCAAUAAAAUGUGGAGCAUAGGAAAAAUUUCUUCAUAAAAAUAGGAUUUCAUUUCUACAAAUCAAAGGGCUCUAAAGGAAUUUUUUUAUAAAAAUCCUAUCAUAUGAAAUUCCUACAAAAUUCCUCUAAAUCAAAGGAGGUCUAGGUUUUUUUACGGGAGCAGGGAGCUACCGGUGAGUCUCUAGCCAAUGAGCUUGCAGCGUAUCUGACUCCAUCUGACAUUCUCAGAUGUAUUUGGUUCCUUUUCUGCAUUUGUGGCAUUGAUAUGCCUUUGCUCAGGGCCCACAACUUUUUAUGAUAUGGAACCCACCAUGUUCUCAUCACGCACACAUUUCCCAUCGCACUGUGUCAUGAACCAAGAACAUACUUUAACUGUUUUCGUCAUAUUCACCAAUACCACUUCUAGUUUACAUAUUCACAGAUCAAAUAUGGACUAACAUACCCAAUAACUCUUGCAUAUGUCACAAAAAAGAUAGGUGGCAUAUUUCACAUAUAUGAACUAUAAAUCUCUUUCAUAGUUCACAAUGCCAAAUCUCACUUUCACUUGAGUAAUUUCACUUAAAAAAUGAGUGGAAUGAAGAAAAAGAAGGAUGCCGAUAACGCCCACACGUGUGGGCAUUAAGGAGUCUGCCCACACAUUUUGUGUGGUGUGUAAGGGGAUCAGCCCACACGCCUACGUGUGGGCAAAACAAUAGCGCCCACACGUCUAUUUUUUUUCUUGCAGUCCUUCUCACAUGCCUACGUGUGGGCAAAAUGCAUAACGCCCAUACGACCUCUCUCAGCCACCUACCUCACGGUCCCGCACGCCCCGCGUGACAGUCAUCACGCGUCCCCGCAGUUGUCAUGGUCCGGACCCUCUUCAAUGUCCGUUUAACUGCAGUUGCCAUGUCGCUGAACUACAGUUGUCAUGCCGGACAACUACAAUUGCCAUAGUUGCUCAACUGUAGUUGCCAUCUUAGGUCAAGUGCCAAAUGCCAUUUUGGACAACUGCAGUUGUUGUCAUGUAUGGUCUGGUUUACUAUAGUUGCCAUGAUUUGAAAACUUUAGAGGUCGCCACCUACUAACACUAAGCAGUUGCCAUGUAUGGUCUUGUUUACUACAGUUGCCAUGAUUUCAAAACCUUAGGAGUUGCCAACCAAUAACACUAGGCAGUUUCCGUGUAGCACUACAAAGAGACAUGGCAAAACAACAUGUUUGGAUAAAAGAGAGAGUUGUCAUCUGCUUACAAGGACACUAUGGCAGUUGCCGUGUACCCUGUAAAACACAUGGCAACUGACAUGUUCGGAUAAAAAAAAGUUGUCAUCUGCUUACAAGCACACUAGGGCAAUUGCCAUGUACACUGCAAAACGCAUGCCAACUGGGAGCUUGUGUGUGGGAGAGAAGACGAGCGUGUGGGCGAGAUGACAAAUGCCCACACACCAGCCCUUGUGCGUGGGUGAAAACUAUCGUGUGGGCGAACUGAUAAACGCCCACAUAUCGGCCCCUCCGUGUGGUGAAACGAACGUGUGGGCGACCGGGUGAAUGCCCACACACCAGCCCAGUCCUACGUGGCACCACAAACAUGCCAAAUUUCGUGCACCCACAAACGGAGGCGGAUCCACGCGUGUGGGCGAGAUGCAAACGCCCACGCGUGUGGGCGGUAGUGUUUCCGAAAAAGAAUCACAUCUAUCUUUGGCACCGCUAUCAAUUUCACAAAUUUCAGUAACACAUUUCAGUCUUUUGAAAAGACCUAUUUCAAUCAUUUUCAGAAACUGAUUUUAGCUAUUUUAAAAGACCUGUUUCAGAUUCUCAAAAACCUAUUUCAAUCAUUUUCAGAAACUGAUUUUAGCUAUUUCAAAAGACCGGUUUCAGUUUCUCAAAAACCUAUUUCAGUUUUCCAAUUGACCAAUUUCAAUUAUUUCAGAAAAUAUGGUUCACACAUAUGAAUUCCUUGGGAUUUCACAUAUGAAUUUGACAAAAUAUAUUUCAUAUUUCAACAAUAUCACUUUCAGUUUACAUAUCCAUAAAUCUAAUAUGGACUAAUAUCACUUUCUUUCGCAAAUCUGAACAAAAUAACUCUUGCAUGUGUCACAAAAUCAGAUAGGUGCCAUAUUUCGCAUAUAUGAACCAUAAAUCUCUUCCAUAUAUCACAAAACCAGAUUUCUCUUUCACUUGAAUGGAUUUCAGAAGGAAAAAAAUCAGUUCUAUAUGAACCAUAAAUCUCUUCCAUAGUUCACAAAACAAGAUUUCACCUUCACAAAUCUAACACUGAACAUACAUCACAAGCUGAGAAAAAUUCAGAAAAAAAGAAAACAUUGGUAGGAGCGAUUUCUUUCAAUGGUCCCAAAUAUUCAGAGGAUAAUCGCCAUUUAUCUAGGUAAGAACCAAUAUCAUGCAAAAUAUAAAAAUCAUGAAGAACAGGAGAAAAGGAACGAGAAAAUUGGCUUCUUAGCUCACCAGAAGAGUUGGGGAAGGAGGGUACGGAUCCGACGGCGACAAACUACCGGAGCACGACUGCCGGGGGGUACCCGUCUACGCACCAUCUCGGUGGCAUCACGGCGGCCGGAGCAGCCAGAUCUGGACGUUGCUGCGUAGGGGAGGCCAGAUCUGGUCUUCUAUGGCGACAGGCUGCCGGAGCACGGAGCGGCGGUGGCGGCGGGCUGCAGGAGCACGGAGCUGCGGUGGCGGCGGCCUGCCGGAGGAGCAACCGAGAGAGAGAGGAAGGGGGGAGGGAGAGAGAGAGAGAGUCAGCCUCACGGGUCGUCGUUAGGGUGUCAGGGUAUAUAAAGUCGGUCGUGGGCGUGGGUGGGUACCGAUGUAUUUUGCUAGGUAUUGCUUUC